rnacentral:rRNA from 1 species
GACGUAGGGUGCGAGCGUUGUCCGGAUUUAUUGGGCGUAAAGAGCUCGUAGGCGGUGUGUCGCGUCGGCCGUGAAAACUUGGGGCUUAACUCUGAGCUUGCGGUCGAUACGGGCAUCACUGGAGUUCGGCAGGGGAGACUGGAAUUCCUGGUGUAGCGGUGAAAUGCGCAGAUAUCAGGAGGAACACCGGUGGCGAAGGCGGGUCUCUGGGCCGAUACUGACGCUGAGGAGCGAAAGCGUGGGGAGCGAACAGG